rnacentral:siRNA from 1 species
AGAAUAACUAACAAUCCUAACCGG